GUCUACGGCCAUACCACCCUGAACGCGCCCGAUCUCGUCUGAUCUCGGAAGCUAAGCAGGGUUGGGCCUGGUUAGUACUUGGAUGGGAGACCUCUCGUGACCAUAACGCUGUAUGGU
rnacentral:rRNA from 1 species